rnacentral:rRNA from 1 species
UUGCCAGACUCCUACGGGAGGCAGCAGUGGGGGAUAUUGCACAAUGGGGGGAACCCUGAUGCAGCGACGCCGCGUGGGUGAAGAAGCGCCUCGGCGCGUAAAGCCCUGUCAGCAGGGAAGAAAAUGACGGUACCUGAAGAAGAAGCCCCGGCUAACUACGUGCCAGCAGCCGCGGUAAUACGUAGGGGGCAAGCGUUAUCCGGAUUUACUGGGUGUAAAGGGGGCGCAGACGGCGAUGCAAGCCAGGAGUGAAAGCCCGGGGCUCAACCCCGGGACUGCUUUGGAAACUGCCUGACUGGAGUGCUGGAGAGGCAAGCGGAAUUCCUAGUGUAGCGGUGAAAUGCGUAGAUAUUAGGAAGAACACCAGUGGCGAAGGCGGCUUGCUGGACAGUAACUGACGUUGAGGCUCGAAAGCGUGGGGAGCAAACAGGAUUAGAUACCCGCGUAC